AAUGAGUUUUGUUUUGAUAAACAUCUUCGUUUAUUUCCGUUACGUGUUCAGUUUGUUUCAAAUCGGUUCGUUUAGGUUUAAGACUAAAAUUAAAAAGAUUUUAACUGUUAAUUAACUAGUUAUGAUGUUAUACCGCAACCUUUUGAGCUCCAGAAGGAAGGUCAUUCCUUCGUUAUCACCCGUUAUUACUCGCAAUUUGAGCAACUUUCAAGAGCGAGAUGGCGUGGGCCACAUCUUGCUGGACAACGAAAAAACUCGCAACUCCCUCUCGUUGGAGAUGAUGGACAGCAUCCAGCAGAACAUCCUCGCCCACCAGGACAAUUCCGCGGUUCGAUGCUUUGUCCUGUCCGCGAAGGGACACGUCUUCUCCGCUGGUCACAAUCUGAAAGAGCUCACCCCCGAGAAGGGUUCGGAAUUUCACCGGCAGGUUUUCGCCAAGUGUUCCGAACUUAUCGGUGUCAUUCUAAAGGCUCCGGUGCCGGUGAUUGCCAGGGUUGACGGUUUGGCAGCUGCCGCAGGAUGUCAGCUGGUGGCGUCCUGCGACAUGGUCGUUUGCAGCGAAGAGAGUUCCUUUUCGACUCCGGGAGCGAGUUUCGGGAUUUUCUGCUCGACGCCGGGAAUUGCGGUGGCACGUGCGGUUCCUCGCUUGAAGGCAUCCUACAUGUUGUUUACCGGACUGCCAAUCAACGCCCAGGAAGCACUGCAGGCCGGUUUGGUGAGCCGGGUUGUUCCUCGGGAGGAGUUGGAUGCGGAGAUUGAACGCAUUUGUGGGGCCAUCAAGUCCAAGAGUCGAUCGGUGAUUGCCCUGGGGAAGCGAUUCUUCUACGAGCAACUCUCGAUGGACAUCGGAAGGGCGUAUCGCGAGGGAGAGCAGGUGAUGGCUAGCAAUUUGGCGACUGCCGACGGGCAAGAGGGCAUUCGGAGCUUUGUGGAAAAACGGAAGCCAACGUGGAAGCACCAGUAACGGAUUGAACGGGUGAUAUACAACUAGGCUGGUGGAAUCCUGUGGAAACUAGGUAAAAGAAAACAUGGUGCAACUCCAGCAGCUGAUUUUCCUAUUCAGCGUCCCGCGAAAAUGACUAUCAAAUAAGCGUGGCCGGAACUCUCCAUAAUGUGUUGUAAUUUUGAGUGAAAAAAGUUAAAUAAACCUCAUCGAAAAACCUAGCUUUUGUUUACCUAUAUUAGGAAGACAAAGAAGAAGAAGAAAAGCCUCCCCAGAUUUUUUUUAUUCUAAUAAAAAUGAUCUUUGAAUCAACAA
rnacentral:misc_RNA from 1 species